UAUAGAACUAUGACCAUUAAUUAUUUCACUUGUUCAUAUAGUUCACAGGAAAAGCUGUUGUUAAAUCUUCACAAACUUGAGUCCUAAAAACAGAGCUUCAACCUAAACUUUGUUUGCAUAGGAAAUGAGGCAAAAAGUUAACUGAAAUUUUAAAAGGAAGAGAUGGUGUUCGCGUUGCUGCUUCAACAGGAAUAGACCUCCUCCUCCUUGAUGACUUUAAGCUGGUCAUUAAUGACUUAACAUACCACGUACGACCACCAAAAAGAGACCUCUUAAGUCAUGAAAAUGCAGCAACGCUGAAUGAUGUAAAGACAUUGGUCCAGCAACUAUACACCACACUGUGCAUUGAGCAGCACCAGUUAAACAAGGAAAGGGAGCUUAUUGAAAGACUAGAGGAUCUCAAAGAGCAGCUGGCUCCCCUGGAAAAGGUACGAAUUGAGAUUAGCAGAAAAGCUGAGAAGAGGACCACUUUGGUGCUAUGGGGUGGCCUUGCCUACAUGGCCACACAGUUUGGCAUUUUGGCCCGGCUUACCUGGUGGGAAUAUUCCUGGGACAUCAUGGAGCCAGUAACAUACUUCAUCACUUAUGGAAGUGCCAUGGCAAUGUAUGCAUAUUUUGUAAUGACACGCCAGGAAUAUGUUUAUCCAGAAGCCAGAGACAGACAAUACUUACUAUUUUUCCAUAAAGGAGCCAAAAAGUCACGUUUUGACCUAGAGAAAUACAAUCAACUCAAGGAUGCAAUUGCUCAGGUAAGUUUUACAAAAAUUAAAAUAAAUCCCAGCCCUAUCUUGCAUGGUU
rnacentral:lncRNA from 1 species